rnacentral:rRNA from 1 species
GAUGAACGCUGGCGGCGUGCCUAAUACAUGCCAGUCGAGCGAACGGACGAGAAGCUUGCUUCUCUGAUGUUAGCGGCGGACGGGUGAGUAACACGUGGAUAACCUACCUAUAAGACUGGGAUAACUUCGGGAAACCGUAGCUAAUACCGGAUAAUAUUUUGAACCGCAUGGUUCAAAAGUGAAAGACGGUCUUGCUGUCACUUAUAGAUGGAUCCGCGCUGCAUUAGCUAGUUGGUAAGGUAACGGCUUACCAAGGCAACGAUGCAUAGCCGACCUGAGAGGGUGAUCGGCCACACUGGAACUGAGACACGGUCCAGACUCCUACGGGAGGCAGCAGUAGGGAAUCUUCCGCAAUGGGCGAAAGCCUGACGGAGCAACGACGCGUGAGUGAUGAAGGUCUUCGGAUCGUAAAACUCUGUUAUUAGGGAAGAACAUAUGUGUAAGUAACUGUGCACAUCUUGACGGUACCUAAUCAGAAAGCCACGGCUAACUACGUG